UCUUCCGCAAUGGGCGAAAGCCUGACGGAGCAACGCCGCGUGAGUGAUGAAGGUCUUCGGAUCGUAAAACUCUGUUAUUAGGGAAGAAUAAAUGUGUAAGUAACUAUGCACGUCUUGACGGUACCUAAUCAGAAAGCCACGGCUAACUACGUGCCAGCAGCCGCGGUAAUACGUAGGUGGCAAGCGUUAUCCGGAAUUAUUGGGCGUAAA
rnacentral:rRNA from 1 species